CUCUCUCUCUCUCUCUCUCUCUCUCUCUCUCUCUCUCUCUCUCUCUCUCUCUCUCUCUCUCUCUCUCUCUCCUUCUCCCUCCCUCGUCAUCAUCUCCUCUCCAGUGCUCUGAUGUUGUAGAUCAUAAAUCCAGAUGUUCCCAAACUGCAUCGCUGUUAUUUCUAAAUGUUUAGAACAGUUGUUGGUUGUUGCUCCUCACUGCGCUAGUGGAGAUGUUACAGAUGGAGUGGAGGUGAAGGGGUGAGGAGGUUCCUCCUGUCGUUGAGAUGAAGGGGUGAGGAGGUGAAGGGGUGAGGAGGUUCCUCCUGUAGUGGAGGUGAAGGGGUGAGGAGGUUCCUCCUGUCGUUGAGAUGAAGGGGUGAGGAGGUUCCUCCUGUCGUUGAGAUGAAGGGGUGAGGAGGUUCCUCCUGUCGUUGAGAUGAAGGGGUGAGGAGGUGAAGGGGUGAGGAGGUUCCUCCUUAGGUGGGGGGGGGUUAGCAGUGGUCAGACUUGGUCUCAUCCCCCUACACCAUCCAAGAACCUCUCCUCACCUGAUGUCAACCUACCAUUGCAUUAACGUUUUGUUUCUCCUGUGCAUCAUUUCUAUUCAUGUUUAUAUUUAAUGGCAAUCCUAUUUUCUUCUACAUAUCUUCUGCAAACACAGUUGAAGGUCAAAUGUUUUGUUUUUGUUUGUUUUUAACGACGUGUGUUGAAAGAACUGAACAAAAUUAGUUUGGCAUGAACUACUUGGGCACCCUUAAGGGGUGAUUAUGGGCCCCCGUUCACGCAACGCAACGCCCCCGUAGACGCCUCAAUGCCGUCCUGAACCUGUCGAGGUUCUGCGUCGGGUCGUAGCAGGCAGACCAAUCACAGCCCUUGCUGCUGCGUCACCUCGACGGAAGGUUACAAUGUCUGGGAGGUGCGCGUCAGGCCCGUGCGGUGGACGCAAGGAGGGUCCGCAAGGACGUGGGGGUCCGUGAACCUCUUUGCGUUGCGUGAAGGUGGGACCGCGGUGGUUCUUCAGAGAGCUGCGGGGCUCUCUCCGUCGGGGCGCUGAUGGAGGAAGAGAGGAGAGGGAGGGGGAGGGCUGUUUCUUCAGAUGGUCAUGCCCCAUAAUGCAUUGCACUUAGUGAAUAUCCGCAGAGUUAUGAGUGAUCCGCCUUCUCUCUGAUGUGAUGACACUGGAGUGCUUUCGCCCGGCAGUGAGCUGCACAUGCAGAGUAUUUAGAUGUGAAAUGUUCCGUGCACUCGUUCUGGUGUGGGUGUGAUCAGUGUCUCCUGUGUCUCUCGCCCUCCGUGCUGGUACGUGGUUUUGUCUGAGCAGUCCUGUGGUAUCGUGGUGGUGAACAGUGUAGGCUCAGAGUGCUACAAGUCAAACCAGGCAACAUGUGAAACCCUCUUCUAGAUUAAGUUGUACCAAAUACCUUUUUACAUUUUGUUUUUUUAUUUACUAUUUACAUUUUUUUAGACAGUAUGAAUGGGGAGUGAAUAUGUAGCACACAACCCGUGAUGUGUGACAACAGGGUACAUGUUGCUAGAUGGACUCCUCCUUGGUAUGCAGAGGUCUGAGGCACUGCAGGAGGACAGCUCUUGUGGUGAUUAGCUCAGAGCUGCGGGAGUCGAGGGUUUGAUGGACCCAGCGUGGGUCCAUCAUUGGCCUCACCACGCCCCCUCCUCUAAGCGUCCUGACGUCUGGCCUGCAUGCAGUGAUUUACCUCUUCCCUUCACGAUCAGAUUAGCCAUAAAGACCGUACUUAAUCAGGUCUUAAUCGGGUCCUCCUCCUUGGGAAGGAGUAGAGGGCUCUCAUUGGAAGCAGGCGGGCAGCAGCUGGUUAGUUAGUUGGUUAGUUUGUCCUCCAGGUGUCUGGACGGCUCUGAGGCCAGGGUCUUUAAUCACCUUCAGUCAUCGGGCUGCUAAGUGACCACCUACUUUAAUCUAUUAUUACUUUCCAUGCGCUGUAACUCUCACCACCUCUAAGGAGAAUCCCCUGAACCGGUAAUGGACUCGCUAAGCAGCCACUGGCCUCACGCUUUGGCCUGAUGAAAACAGCUGGAUGUGACAGCGUCUAUUGAACACCAGUGUGGGGAGACUCUGCCCUCUGUCGUCAGACCCUCACCCGGUCUCCAGGAGGUCCUGGUCCACCAGGGGUUCGGAGCCCACUCCGGGUUCUGAUCAAGGAAAAGUAAAUGAACCAAGAACUCCUCUGAUCUUUUGUUUGUUUUCAUCUGUUGGCUUCUCAUUUGUUUUCCUUUUUCCUCUGUUGCUCAUUGCACUCAACACACGCACACGCACACGCACUCACUCACUCACUCACUCUCACACUCACUCACUCACUCACUCACUCACUCACUCACUCCCUCACUCACUCACUCACUCACAUCAGCAGUUACCACUGGAGGCCCUUGCUUUGCGUUGUCUUUAGGUGGUGAUUAUUCAUUUAUGAAUAACUCUGUUUCCUUGUAACUCAACGGAGUGUGUGGCUAUAGUUGUGACUGUUUAACUGUGUUUGUGGCUAUGGUGUGAGUGUGUUACUGUGUGUGUGUGUGUGGCUAUGGUGUCAGUGUGUAACUGUGUGUGUGGCUAUAUGUUUGAGUGUGUAACAGAGUGUGAGGCUAUAGGUGUAUCGUUGAUGCUGUGUGUCCUAAGGUAUAUAACCGUUGACGUAGUGCGUCUGUGUGAAUAUGGCAUUUUCAGAAAUGAACUUGUGAUAGAAAAUUCAGUGUUUUGUAAUAUUUCCCUAUGACGUGUAAUAAUUUAUUCUACGACAGUACUUUCUAUAUCGGAAAAUACUUUAAAUGUGACAGUCUUUGUAUUUAUCAUCUACUAAAUUAUUGUACUUUUUUGCAAUUUGUAUAUGUGUAAGUCCUGAUGGUAAUGUAAUUAGUAAUCACAGAACUCAAUGGUCCAUUGUAAGUUUGAUGCAUAUUUUGUUUCAUUGAUGUACAUACUGUAUGAUUGUUGAUAAACAGCUUACUUUAUUUUGUAUAUGACCAAUAAACAUGUUUUUAAAUUAACAAGGUGUCUUGAAUGGAAUUAACAUGAACUACCAAGUAAGACAAAUAAAGUGUGCAGGUGGCAGUGUGAAUGUUUACCUCAUGGAGAAUGGUUAAACACAGAACUGCUCUAAUUACUACCUUAACGAAUAACCUGUUAUGUUAGCCUUUAAGUAUGUGAAUACUUAUUCCAGCAUUAACACAUUGUAUAAUAUGUUAGCACUUAUUUUAGUGUGUGAGUGCGUAAUCUGCCGUGAAUUCAAUAAAUCUGAUGCGUGAAUCCAUUCCUUGUGUGAAUCCAUUCUGGCUGUGAAUCCAUUCCGGGUCUAACUCCACUCCGGGUUUAGCUCCACUCAGGCUCUGACGCC
ensembl:lncRNA